rnacentral:rRNA from 1 species
GAGGUAGUGACGAAAAAUAACGAUACGGGACUCAUCCGAGGCCCCGUAAUCGGAAUGAGUACACUCUAAACCCUUUAACGAGGAUCAAUUGGAGGGCAAGUCUGGUGCCAGCAGCCGCGGUAAUUCCAGCUCCAAUAGCGUAUAUUAAAGUUGUUGCGGUUAAAAAGCUCGUAGUCGAAUUUGUGUCCCGCGCCGCCGGUUCAUCGCUCGCGGUGUUUAACUGGCGUGUCCGCGGGACGUCCUGCCGGUGGGCUCAGCCUCCUCCUCGCUGGGGUGGGGGCGGCCCAACUUCAAAUCCCACCGCGGUGCUCUUUGCCGAGUGUCGAGGUGGGCCGGCACGUUUACUUUGAACAAAUUAGAGUGCUUAAAGCAGGCUAAAACUUCGCCUGAAUACUGUGUGCAUGGAAUAAUGGAAUAGGACCUCGGUUCUAUUUUGUUGGUUUUCGGAACUCCGAGGUAAUGAUUAAUAGGAACGGAUGGGGGCAUUCGUAUUGCGACGUUAGAGGUGAAAUUCUUGGAUCGUCGCAAGACGGACAGAAGCGAAAGCAUUUGCCAAAAACGCUUUCAUUGAUCAAGAACGAAAGUUAGAGGUUCGAAGGCGAUCAGAUACCGCCCUAGUUCUAACCAUAAACGAUGCCAGCUAGCUAUCCGCCGACGUUCCUCCGAUGACUCGGCGGGCAGCUUCCGGGAAACCAAAGCUUUUGGGUUCCGGGGGAAGUAUGGUUGCAAAGCUGAAACUUAAAGGAAUUGACGGAAGGGCACCACCAGGAGUGGAGCCUGCGGCUUAAUUUGACUCAACACGGGAAACCUCACCAGGCCCGGACACCGGAAGGAUUGACAGAUUGACAGCUCUUUCUUGAUUCGGUGGGUGGUGGUGCAUGGCCGUUCUUAGUUGGUGGAGCGAUUUGUCUGGUUAAUUC